rnacentral:rRNA from 1 species
GACAUAGGUCGCAAACGUUAUCCGGAAUUAUUGGGCGUAAAGGAUGCGUAGAUGGUUCAAUAAGUUACUGGUGGGAAAUCGAGGCUCAACCUCGUGGAAGUCAGUAAUACUGUUGAACUUGAGUGCAGGAGAGGUUAACGGAACUUUAUGUGGAGCGGUAAAAUGCGUAGAUAUAUGAAAGAACAUCAAUAUGGCGAAGGCAGUUAACUAUUCUGUUACUGACGUUUGAGGCAAUGAAAGGCGUGGGGGAGCAAAACGG